ensembl:lncRNA
UUCAUUGUCUAUUCAUUGAUAUUCGACUUUGGGACUUUGUUACCUCCUUCAGCUCUCCAUGGUUUAUAUUUAAUGCUAACACCACCUCAUUUAGCUCUACACUUCAAUCCGUGGAUAUAGAAAGUGGGUAUGGAGGAGCGGAUGGAAUGGCCAGAGCUACACUUGUACAGUAGAAGUAGGCAAGCUGCAAGUGUGAGGUUCUGUGGCUCGGACUGCGAUCGCUACUACGUAAAUGAACCGAAUUGGCUCGAGGCCAACGUUCUCUUCCAGGCGGCGCCGGUGCCGUUUCCAUCAUUCUUCUUCUGUGGACAUUCUGGUUAAGGAUUUGACGCCAGUGAGAACGUCAGAGGUGCUUCGUACAAACCUGAUAAACGAAAGGCAUACACAUUCAACGCAAAACAAAAACCCCCAAAAUGAACCCUGUUUCUCUCUAGAUGUUCUGAUUUCCAUAUGGAAAAGGUUGAUAUCUUUGGCGUUUUUUUUUUUUUUCUCUCUUCAAGACGUGUCAAAAAAACGAAGCAGUGAUGAAGCACAAAUCAUCCAGUGCCUUGCGUUUAAAGAUGCCAUAAAAGCCAAAUGCCAGUCAGGCAAUUCGUUCAACUCAUCCUGUCAGCCUCUCUAAAGGACACGAAUCAAGAGUUCUCUCUCUCUGUCUUUUUCUUUCUCGCGCUCUCUCUCUCUCGCUCUCAAGAACAAAGCUGCACACAGUAAGACAAAUCUGCUGCAGCGAGCAGAGCUUUUUAUUUCUCUUUCGGCAUUUGCCGACUGCCAGGCUGAGCUGAAGCCAGAAGAGCCAGAUUUGUUUCCUGUAAUUAAGUUGAUUUCCCUUGUGGAACAGAAAUCCUUCCAAAGCUGACACUUUGCACUGAAUUCUUCAUUUAAAAAAAAAACCAAAAAAAAAAAAAAACGCAAGCACGUGUGCUAAUCUCUCCUCCGGCAGCCUGCUGCUCUCACGGGCCCUGCUCUCAGGCCAUUGUUUUUCAUCUUCACGCCGAGACAAAUCCAUUUCCAGCACUUGUUCUGUCAAACAAGUAGAAAGAAAAUCCGUAUUCUCUUAAUACUCUCCUUUUAAAAAUAAAAAAUAAAUAAAAAUAUUAUUAAUUUCUCUGAAAGCAAGACCGUGUCUAUGACACGUGUGCUAUUAGCUUAUGCGUUACUCAGUCAUGAGAUUACGAGCAGCUAAAAGUUGUCCUAACGGACUGAACGGACCAACCUCCUACCAAAAUGGCCUGCCCGCCCAAACCCCGCCCCAUCACCCCCUCAACCCAUUCGACAUGCAAGUUCUCCAAACACUACACCAAUCCUCCCUUGGAUGAUGGAGUACCAUAUUGAUGCGAUUCAAAGCAGCUAAAAGUCGUCCUAACGGACCGACUGGGUCCGAUUCUUAUCUCGCGUGAGACCCGUUUCGACCCAGCUCAGACGAAAUUGCCGGAACAUGAGCUUCACUCCCGGUGUCUUAUAUUUCUGGCCCGUUUGAACGAUCUAUAGUUGUUCCCUGUAGUUCUCCAAACACUACACCGAUCCUCCCAUCUGCUUUUCUGCAUGGUUUUAUAGAACAGAGCUGUGCGUUGUGGCAGUGCCCAAGGGUCAAACAAAGUGUGCCAAUCUAGUGCUGAUUGUCAGACUCGAUCAUUGUACUUUAUGAUUUGAAAAAAAUAAAUAAAAUGUAAUGGUUGAGAAGAUCCUUCCUUUCAGGCUCUUUAGACUUGUGCUUUUCUGGAGCGUCUAGACCUCCAUCGUGCAUUAAUGUGCCUUAAAUAACCUUUGGACCCUCAGACAAGCUCUCCUUAGGCGAUUUAGCCAACUGCUACUUUCUCAACGUCUGUAAAUAGCGAUCGUCCUCCUACAUCCCGCAAUCCGUCUGUCGCACUUGUAACUCGGGGCGGCUGUGGCUCAGGUGGUAGAGCGGGUCGUCCACUCAUCGUAGGGUCGGCGGUUCGAUUCCCUGCCCACGUGACUCCACAUACCGAAGUGUCCUUGGGUGAGACGCUGAGCCCCGAAUCGCUCCCGAUGGCAAGUUAGCGUCUUGCGUGGCAGCUCUGCUACCAUGGGUGAAUGAGACACAGUGUAAAACGCUUUGGAUAAAAGUGCUAUAUAAGUGUGCCAGUUACCAAUUUAUAACUUUGUGCCAAGUUUGAAGAAAUAUAACAGAUUAACCAUAUACUCUGUGUGGACAUAACAAGGACUAUGGAUUUUGAAUCAUACACGGUUUUCCUCUUCGUAUUGGUAUUCCCAUCAGUUUAAAAAGACGAUAGCACCAGUUUCAGUCGUUUGUGUUCACCAAGCUACCCAAUAACGCAAAAUUAGACCGGCGGUCCUUACGGUGUAAUGAAGUACUUUCAUAAAUGUUCCCCUACAAUUAUCUUCCUUCGACUAAAGUUAAAAAGACACACCCCUAGAAGUAUCUCAUCGGGUAUCGUCGUUGCUCCGAGGGCAGUACAUGAUCCGUUCUGUUCGUACCCAGAGAAACCAUCCCGGAAGUAAAAAUGUUGAUUAUACAGGUUUGUUUAGUUGUUUUCCCCUCACAUUAUCCUGUUUUAAAUAUUAAGAGGAUAUAAAUCUGAACACACAUUGACUACUACUGUACUCACUUUAGGAUUAUUGCAACUCUACCUUCAAUCACGCAGGUUUACAGUCUAGCUAAUUACACUUGAUAAAAAUCUACCAGACACCAUUAGGUCUGUGAAAGGUGAUAUUUGGCAGAUGGAUGACUGUGUUUGGGGUAGAGAGUCCUUUCUCUGGCCUCGUCCGGGUGGUAUUUGCUGGCUCGUCGACGUGACUGAGCGUCAGGCUGGAACGUGGAGGGCAUCCAAACCCAUCUGUGGGCUUUCUGAGGGAAACUGGCAGUACUGUCGGGUUUCUGGAGGAUCCAGAUGGGAGAAGAAUAAACCCAUAACGAAUGAGAGAUGGUAGGCUGUGUGUGUGUGGGCUGUAGCCUUUAUCAUUCCUCCAGGCUCCUCGAGGGUUCAGCCAAGAUGGAGGAGGAGAUUCUACAUGAUGAAGAAGUUUUCAAACUCUAUAAAUACAAGCCGUCUUUGUUGUUCUCUCACCUUGACGUGCAUAUCUUUUGCAUGGAGGUUCGUUCUCAUCCCAGUACCUCACUCAGUGUUGGCAGCUGGAACAAACUGGGGCAUGACAUCAUUUCCUUUCUUCUUGUUUGUUGUACUGUCGCCAAUCAAGAGGUUUGGGUCAUGGGAUGAGCCGGCGGACACAGGAGAAGGGGUUGAGGCCGAGGAAGAGGAGCUUGAAGAGGGUGAAGAGUGGUCGGUGGAGAGUGAAGGGGGAGGUUUUGAAGAAUUGGUGCUCUGUUCUCGGAGGAGCCGGCGAUGCCUGAGGGUGGUGGCAAGCAGCAGGGCCUCAGUUGAGAGCGUGGCCAGGAGGGCUUUGGUCUGGCCAGAAGAGGAAAACGGAUCCUCCUGGUGGUUAUUACAGAACCCAGAGGGCAGACGGCCAGAGAAGCUAGCAGCCCGGGUGCUGGGGGGCAGAAACAACUCCGUCUAGGGGCAGCAAGGUGGGAAAGUGGUGAGCAGAGAAGACAGAAAGAGAGAAGAAAAUAAGGAGGAUGUAUACUAUUCUUUAUGAAGUGAAUACGUUUGAUUGUGGAAGUCUUUCUUGGUCAUCCAUUUUAAGCAAAUCGACCCCACAUGCUCAUGGAGGGUCUGGGUAGGGUUUCGGUCGGGGUUCCUAUUUUCUCACGUGUGUACACAUCUAGGAAUGGGAGACUGAGAGAUGUGUACAAGGCCGAGGAGACUCCAAGGAGGAUGAUGACGAGGAGGAAGAGGAGAGGGAGGUGGGGUGAGUGUCAAGUAGUGUUUCUUCUCACUGGGGUCAUGAGGUCACG